rnacentral:rRNA from 1 species
AAGGCGGGGAUGACGUCAAGUCCUCAUGGCCUUUAUGACCAGGGCUACACACGUACUACAAUGACCGGUACAAAGGGCAGCGACACAGCGAUGUGAAGCCAAUCCCGAAAAGCCGGUCUCAGUCCGGAUUGGAGUCUGCAACUCGACUCCAUGAAGUUGGAAUCGCUAGUAAUCGCGGAUCAGCACGCCGCGGUGAAUACGUUCCCGGGCCUU